UGAACGCUGGCGGCGUGCCUAAUACAUGCAAGUCGAGCGAACAGACGAGGAGCUUGCUCCUCUGACGUUAGCGGCGGACGGGUGAGUAACACGUGGAUAACCUACCUAUAAGACUGGGAUAACUUCGGGAAACCGGCGCUAAUACCGGAUAAUAUAUUGAACCGCAUGGUUCAAUAGUUAAAGACGGUUUUGCUGUCACUUCUAGAUGGAUCCGCGCCGCAUUAGCUAGUUGGUAAGGUAACGGCUUACCAAGGCAACGAUGCGUAGCCGACCUGAGAGGGUGAUCGGCCACACUGGAACUGAGACACGGUCCAGACUCCUACGGGAGGCAGCAGUAGGGAAUCUUCCGCAAUGGGCGAAAGCCUGACGGAGCAACGCCGCGUGAGUGAUGAAGGUCUUCGGAUCGUAAAACUCUGUUAUUAGGGAAGAACAAAUGUGUAAGUAACUAUGCACGUCUUGACGGUACCUAAUCAGAAAGCCACGGCUAACUACGUG
rnacentral:rRNA from 1 species